rnacentral:piRNA from 1 species
UAGAAUGUACCUUGCUCUCGUGUUGUUU